CAAUAGCGUAUAUUAAAGUUGUUGCAGUUAAAAAGCUCGUAGUUGGAUUUCUGUGCUGGACGUCCGGUCGGCGCCCUCUGGGCGGUUUGUACUUGUGGACGUUGGGCGCAUUUUUUGUGAGGUCGCGGUUCUGCCAUUAAGUUGGUGGUUUUGCGGGCUUGCAUCGUUUACUGUGAAAAAAUUAGAGUGUUUAAAGCAGGCGUUUGCUCAUUUGAAUACAUUAGCAUGGAAUAAUAAGAUACGGCCUUGGUGGUCUAUUUUGUUGGUUUGCACACCAGGGUAAUGAUUAAUAGGGACGGUUGGGGGUAUUCAUAUUUCAGCGUCAGAGGUGAAAUUCUUGGAUCGCUGAAAGAUGAGCUUAGGCGAAAGCAUUUACCAAGGAUGUUUUCAUUA
rnacentral:rRNA from 1 species